rnacentral:rRNA from 1 species
CCUACGGGAGGCAGCAGUCGAGAAUCAUUCACAAUGGGGGAAACCCUGAUGGUGCGACGCCGCGUGGGGGAAUGAAGGCCUUCGGAUUGUAAACCCCUGUCAUGUGGGAGCAAAUUAAAAAGAUAGUACCACAAGAGGAAGAGACGGCUAACUCUGUGCCAGCAGCCGCGGUAAUACAGAGGUCUCAAGCGUUGUUCGGAAUCACUGGGCGUAAAGCGUGCGUAGGCUGUUUCGUAAAUCGUGUGUGAAAGGUGCGGGCUCAACCCGCGGACGGCACAUGAUACUGCGAGACUAGAGUAAUGGAGGGGGAACCGGAAUUCUCGGUGUAGCAGUGAAAUGCGUAGAUAUCGAGAGGAACACUCGUGGCGAAGGCGGGUUCCUGGACAUUAACUGACGCUGAGGCACGAAGGCCAGGGGAGCGAAAGGGAUUAGAUACCCCUGUAGUC